rnacentral:misc_RNA from 1 species
AUGGAAAAUAUUUACAUUGUAUGUGAAAGGUUGUAGCUGGCCUUUUUUUAGGAAUUGUGCACACCUGGAUCAUCAUGUAUAAUAACCAUUCAAUACUCUUAUUACCCUUGUGCACAACCUGUAGCUUGACCAUUUUUAACAAAAUUGGUUGAGUUAUGAAUGCCUUUCAAUUUACACAUUAUGAAGUUUGGGGUCAUUAUAUCAAAUAAUGUAUAA